CUAGUGCGAGAAAAUGACCAAAUGGUGAGCCAGCUCUCCUCGCUUACUUUGUGUUGGAGGUUUAAGGAUUGUUUUGAAAUAUGAAACAGUUUAGGAAGCAAGACUAUUUUUUGCAGCGAAGCCUGCCAAUGAUUACAGCCAAACUGGAGAGAAAGAACGUGUUCGCAGGAGCCUGCCUUUUUUACCACCGUUGCCACCGCUACGGCCACUAACAAUGCUACCAAUGAUACCAAUGCAACCAAUGAAACCAAUGCAACUCAUGAGACAAGCGGUUGAAAGCUCGAGCGAUAACAGGGACGGGUACGUGGGCGUGUCUAAUGCUGUAAUGUCAUCGGUUGGCGGAGUCAGCAGAGGCUACAUGAUGCAGAACGUCAAUGGAGAGAUGAAAUCCGCCUAUUGGUGAAACUAGCAGACGGGGCCGUCCAUGAUGACCGCUAACUCAGCCAAAACAUCGAAC